rnacentral:rRNA from 1 species
ACUGUUUAUCAAAAACACAGGUCUCUGCUAAACCGUAAGGUGACGUAUAGGGGCUGACGCCUGCCCGGUGCUGGAAGGUUAAGAGGAGUGGUUAGCGCAAGCGAAGCUACGAAUCGAAGCCCCAGUAAACGGCGGCCGUAACUAUAACGGUCCUAAGGUAGCGAAAUUCCUUGUCGGGUAAGUUCCGACCCGCACGAAAGGCGUAACGAUUUGGGCACUGUCUCAACGAGAGACUCGGUGAAAUCAUAGUACCGGUGAAGAUGCCGGUUACCCGCGACAGGACGGAAAGACCCCGUGGAGCUUUACUGUAGCCUGAUAUUGAAAUUCGGUACAGUUUGUACAGGAUAGGUAGGAGCCUUAGAAGCGUGAGCGCUAGCUUACGUGGAGGCAUUGGUGGGAUACUACCCUAAUUGUAUUGGAUUUCUAACCCGCAGCACUUAUCGUGCUGGGAGACAGUGUCAGGCGGGCAGUUUGACUGGGGCGGUCGCCUCCUAAAGAGUAACGGAGGCGCUCAAAG